UAGCUUAGUCAGUAAAGAAUCUGCCUGCAAUGCAGGAGACCCAGGUUCGAUUCCUGG
rnacentral:tRNA from 1 species